rnacentral:tRNA from 1 species
CGCGGGGUGGAGCAGCUCGGUAGCUCGCUGGGCUCAUAACCCAGAGGUCCAUGGUUCAAAUCCAUGUCCCGCUACCA